CCUACGGGAGGCAGCAGUGGGGAAUCUUCCGCAAUGGGCGAAAGCCUGACGGAGCAACGCCGCGUGAGCGAAGAAGGUCUUCGGAUUGUAAAGCUCUGUGAUAUUGGACGAACAAUUUCCCGUAAAUAAUGGGAAGGAAUGACGGUACAAUAAGAGGAAGCCACGGC
rnacentral:rRNA from 1 species